UGCCAGCCGCCGCGGUAAUACGAAGGGGGCUAGCGUUGUUCGGAAUUACUGGGCGUAAAGCGCACGUAGGCGGACUUUUAAGUCAGAUGUGAAAUCCCGGGGCUCAACCCCGGAACUGCCUCCAAAACUAUCAGUCUAGAGUUCGAGAGAGGUGAGUGGAAUUCCGAGUGUAGAGGUGAAAUUCGUAGAUAUUCGGAGGAACACCAGUGGCGAAGGCGACACUCUGGCACAUUUCUGACGCUGAGGUGCGAAAGCGUGGGGAGCAAACAGGAUUAGAUA
rnacentral:rRNA from 1 species